rnacentral:rRNA from 1 species
UACGGGGGGAGCAAGCGUUGUUCGGAUUUACUGGGCGUAAAGGGCGCGUAGGCGGCGCAAUAAGUCACUUGUGAAAUCUCCGGGCUUAACCCGGAGCGGCCAAGUGAUACUGUCGUGCUAGAGUGCGGAAGGGGCUGCUGGAAUUCUCGGUGUAGCGGUGAAAUGCGUAGAUAUCGAGAGGAACACCUGCGGCGAAGGCGGGUAGCUGGGCCGACACUGACGCUGAGGCGCGAAGGCCAGGGGAGCGAACGGG